UACGGAGGGUGCAAGCGUUAUCCGGAUUUACUGGGUUUAAAGGGUGUGUAGGCGGGCUAUUAAGUCAGUGGUGAAAUCUCCGGGCUCAACCUGGAAACUGCCAUUGAUACUAUUAGUCUUGAAUUCUGUUGAGGUGGGCGGAAUAAGUCAUGUAGCGGUGAAAAUGCAUAGAUAUGACUUAGAACACCAAUUGCGAAGGCAGCUCACUAAGCAGAUAUUGACGCUGAGGCACGAAAGCGUGGGGAUCAAACAGG
rnacentral:rRNA from 1 species